rnacentral:rRNA from 1 species
GUGACUCCUACGGGAGGCAGCAGUGGGGAAUAUUGCACAAUGGGGGAAACCCUGAUGCAGCCAUGCCGCGUGUGUGAAGAAGGCCUUCGGGUUGUAAAGCACUUUCAGUAGGGAGGAAGGUAGUGUAGUUAACACCUGCAUUAUUUGACGUUACCUACAGAAGAAGCACCGGCUAACUCCGUGCCAGCAGCCGCGGUAAUACGGAGGGUGCGAGCGUUAAUCGGAAUUACUGGGCGUAAAGCGCAUGCAGGCGGCCUGUUAAGUCAGAUGUGAAAGCCCGGGGCUUAACCUCGGAAUUGCAUUUGAAACUGGCAGGCUAGAGUCUUGUAGAGGGGGUAGAAUUUCAGGUGUAGCGGUGAAAUGCGUAGAGAUCUGAAGGAAUACCAGUGGCGAAGGCGGCCCCCUGGACAAAGACUGACGCUCAGAUGCGAAAGCGUGGGGAGCAAACAGGAUUAGAUACCCCUGGUAA